rnacentral:lncRNA from 1 species
UUUCUAGCAAGCACCUAUCAAACAAGAGUUGUGAAUUUAAACUUGCAAUGCAACACCUCAUUAUGUUAGUGCACAUUCAAAUGCAACAAAUGGUUCAUGAGCUUGCUCCCCCUAUAUGUGUGCUCAGGAUUAAAAAGUUUUCUCUGCUUUUUUUUGUUUCUCUCCCCUUUUUUUUUGUUUCUCUCCCCUUUUUGACUUUAUCUUUGUUUCUCUCCCCCUUUGUCAUCAAUGACCAUAAAGGUUCAAAUUUUAGUGAGAAUUAAGUCAAUCAAAGUGAGGGUCAAAUUAUGGUUCAAUCUAGAACACUUGCCUAAAGCAUGUAAUUCGGUUUGAUCCAAGGUCAAGCUUUUUCACACCUAAUAAAGUAUGAGGGUUAUCUUGACCAUGUUGAAUCACACAUCAUAAGCUCAUAUUCUAGAUUCAAUACUAGGCUUGCAAGCUCACAAACAUGUCAUAUGCUACCACUAGAUCAAACAACCAUAGAAACAAUAGUGGUACCAUACAUACAUAAAAUCCUUUUGAUUUUCAUGAAUGAGCCUAUUGUCAUGCAAACAUGUCUAUAUGUUCUAAUCAUAUCCUUAGCAAAGUAUGAAUGCUAUGCCAACCAACUUUACCUUGCUUUGUUGGAGGAGAGGCAUGUCAUAUAUAAAUGUGGG